rnacentral:misc_RNA from 1 species
GAAAUGCGAUAAGUAGUGUGAAUUGCAGAAUUCAGUGAAUCAUCGAAUCUUUGAACGCACAUUGCUCCCCUUGGUAUUCCAUGGGGCAUGCCUGUUCGAGCGUCAUUUGUACCCUCAAGCUCUGCUUGGUGUUGGGUGUUUGUCCCGUCUCCGCGCGUGGACUCGCCCCAAAGUGAUUGGCAGCCGGCGUACUGGUCCCGGAGCGCAGCACAUGUCGCGCAAACGAGUGCCUUGGUACGGCGGCGUCCAUAAGCCCCUCUCUCACGCUCUUGACCUCGGAUCAGGUAGGGAUACCCGCUGAACUUAAGC